rnacentral:rRNA from 1 species
CGAACGCUGGCGGCGUGCUUAACACAUGCAAGUCGAACGCGAAAGGGACUUCGGUCCUGAGUAAAGUGGCGCACGGGUGAGUAACGCGUAGAUAACCUGUCUUCAUGUCUGGAAUAAUACGCCGAAAGGGGUACUAAUACCGGAUAUUCUUGCUUUUCAUAAGUUAUGCAAGCAAAGGUGGCCUCUGCAUAUGCUACUGCAUGAAGAGGGGUCUGCGUACCAUUAGCUAGUAGGUGGGGUAAUGGCCUACCUAGGCGACGAUGGUUAGCGGGUCUGAGAGGAUGAUCCGCCACACUGGCACUGGAACACGGGCCAGACUCCUACGGGAGGCAGCAGUGAGGAAUAUUGCGCAAUGGGGGAAGCCCUGACGCAGCGACGCCGCGUGAGUGAGGAAGGCCUUCGGGUCGUAAAGCUCUGUCAAGAGGAAAGAAGUGUACAAUGGCUAAUACCUGUUGUAUUUGACGGUACCUCUAAAGGAAUCACCGGCUAACUCCGUGCCAGCCGCCGC